rnacentral:tRNA from 1 species
GGAGAGGUGGCAGAGUGGUCGAUCGCGGCGGUCUUGAAAACCGUUGUACUCAAGGUACCGGGGGUUCGAAUCCCUCCCUCUCCG